rnacentral:rRNA from 1 species
AGAGCGAACGCUGGCGGCAGGCUUAACACAUGCAAGUCGAGCGCCCCGCAAGGGGAGCGGCAGACGGGAGAGUAACACGUGGGAACGUACCUUUCGGUUCGGAACAACCCAGGGAAACUUGGGCUAAUACCGGAUACGUCCGUAAGGAGAAAGAUUUAUCGCCGAAAGAUCGGCCCGCGUCUGAUUAGCUAGUUGGUGAGGUAACGGCUCACCAAGGCGACGAUCAGUAGCUGGUCUGAGAGGAUGAUCAGCCUCACUGGGACUGAGACACGGCCCAGACUCCUACGGGAGGCAGCAGUGGGGAAUAUUGGACAAUGGCGCAAGCCUGAUCCAGCCAUGCCGCGUGGGUGAUGAAGGCCCUAGGGUUGUAAAGCCCUUUCGGCGGGGAAGAUAAUGACGGUACCGCGGAAGAAGCCCCGGCUAACUUCGUGCCAGCAGCCGC